CCUACGGGUGGCAGCAGUGAGGAAUAUUGGUCAAUGGGCGUAAGCCUGAACCAGCCAAGUCGCGUGAGGGAUGAAGGUUCUAUGGAUCGUAAACCUCUUUUAUAAGGGAAUAAAGUGCGGGACGUGUCCCGUUUUGUAUGUACCUUAUGAAUAAGGAUCGGCUAACUCCGUGCCAGCAGCCGCGGUAAUACGGAGGAUCCGAGCGUUAUCCGGAUUUAUUGGGUUUAAAGGGUGCGUAGGCGGCCUCUUAAGUCAGCGGUGAAAGUUUGUGGCUCAACCGUAGAAUUGCAGUUGAGACUGGGAGUCUUGAGUGUGGGUGAGGCAGGCGGAAUGCGUGGUGUAGCGGUGAAAUGCUUAGAUAUCACGAAGAACCCCGAUUGCGAAGGCAGCCUGCUGAGCCAUGACUGACGCUGAUGCACGAAAGCGUGGGGAUCAAACAGGAUUAGAUACCCUGGUAGUC
rnacentral:rRNA from 1 species